UUUGAAUACAUAUGAAAAUAUCUCUCUCUUUCUAAACUCGAUCUUUCUCUCACUCUCUCACUAGCUCACAGCUUCUAUCAAUAGUGAAUUUCUACAAGGAACUUGAAGAACAAAACAUGCACACUUAGUUAAUGAAGGAGAAGAAUAAGAGAAGCAUAAGGAGGUAUGUGGUUUGACCAAAAUCAGCCUACAUCUAUUGGAAGAAAUUGUUUGAAGAUUUGCAGAUAAGUUUUCUUACAACCUUUACAAAAAUGAUAACUCUCUUUCUCAUUUAUAGAUCUAUUAUGGUAUUUAUAGUUUAUACCAGUCAGUUACAAGUUUGUAAUAUUACUAAGAGAAGUUAAAAGCUAGUCGUUGGAGUCAUUUAUUUUCAAUUCUCCACCUUGAAUCCAAUGCAUGCAAUCUUCAAUUCUUCCAAUUUUUGACAUUUUACCCUGUUUCUAGAAGGUUAAAGUCGAUAAACUCAAGCACUUGAGGAGCUUGAAUUUAGGAACUGACUCCGUUAGCAUAUCGACAACAUUCCUGGAGAAUGUAAUCAGGAUUACUGGGAAUCAGACAAAUAUUAGAAAGCAUGAGUAAUCGAGGACAGAACGAAAGUGAGAUCGUGAAUCAUGAAAAUUGUGAUAAAGACGAUUAAGUUGAAAACUGCCGAAAUGGAAUGAGUUUUGGAUUACAAAUCGGGCCCAAAAUGCUCAAUCCAAACAUGGAUUUUUUGUUAUAUUACAUUACAAGAGAAAUUGGAGGAAAUGGCAAAAUCCGGGGGAUUAUUUUGAUUUUUGUCAAAAAUCAAAAAUAAAAUAAUUUUGGCAAAACGUGUGCCGCUCACAUGACGAACACUUAGAUAAUUCCAAAGUUACCCUUGGUAUGAUCGGAUAACAGCAUUUUCGAAUACAUGUAAUUGUUAUACUGUGUAUCAAUUAUGAAUAGAAAUCUAGUGUAAAUGGGAAGAGUCAGUUAUGAGACUCCAAUCUAAUCGGUUCAAAGAUAAAAAAGUGUAUUUUCGCCCAAUUUGAAUUUUGAAUGGGUUGUUUGAUAUCAAAUUUGAUUUAAUAUAACCACUUUUCAAAAGUA